rnacentral:rRNA from 1 species
UACGGAGGGNGCGAGCGUUAAUCGGAAUUACUGGGCGUAAAGCGCACGCAGGCGGUUUGUUAAGCUNGAUGUGAAANCCCCGGGCUNAACCUGGGAUGGUCAUUUAGAACUNGCAGACUUGAGUCUUGGAGAGGGGAGUGGAAUUCCAGGUGUAGCGGUGAAAUGCGUAGAUAUCUGGAGGAACAUCAGUGGCGAAGGCGACUCCCUGGCCAAAGACUGACGCUCAUNUGCGAAAGUGUGGGUAGCGAACAGG